rnacentral:rRNA from 1 species
AAUUUACACACACACAUAGGUAGUAGUAGAAAACAAAACCCAUAAAGCUUGGCAGUUACUACUAUGUAAAGAAACUUGUUUUAUAACUCGAUAACACUCGAUUAGUUUAACUAUAAUAAACAGUUUAUAUACCGCCGUUUCAGAUAUUAAAUAAAGAAAAUCACUAAAUAUAACAUUUUAAAAAAUCAGGUCAAGGUAUAGCCCAUAUUAAAGUAAAAAUUAGUUACAAAUAAAAUAAAUUUAAGAAAAAAAUGUCUAAAAAUUUUUAGAAAAAGAAUUUACAAACAAUAAGAUUUCAAAAAACUCUCAAUGAAACCUAAAACAGUAAUGCACACAUCGC